GCCACCUACGCUUGAAUACCUGUUCCCGUACGAUCACUGAAGUUAAGCAACGUCGAGCAGGGUCAGUACUUAGAUGGGUGACCGCUUCGGAAAACCAGGUGCUGUAA